rnacentral:lncRNA from 1 species
CAUAAUCUAAUUCUAUACAUCUUUCUGGCUCCUUUAUUUUUGUUCCUUUUUUCUCUCUCUUUUUUUGUACAGUAUCAAAUAAAAAAUAACCGAUACAGUACAUCUUUUUAUUUAUUAUUUCUCUUAUACUAGUUAUCAUAAUAUAACUCACUCUAGCGUAUAGUAUAUGAAAAAUAGGUUAUUAGUAGCAGUUGAAGUAUAUUGUUGUAGCCAGCAUAUUAUGAUACUCACAUGAUGUAUUAUCAUAUACUGAGAGGGUAUCAUAGACAUCUGGUUCAUUCCUUCUAUAAAACAGUAAGUGCACUAUGAUACCUAUAUAUUAU